GAGAAGACAGAAACCAGGGACACAGAGAGAAAAACCAGGGACCUGAUUCUCUCCAGCAAAGGCGAACCAAGCCAGCCUGCCUGCCUUCCGGGUUGGCCCCUUCCGACGUCACGGCUACAGGUUGGCCGAAGCUGGGACUAACAGCAGGUGCUCACUCUGCUCCCCAGAUUGGAACCUGCGAUCAUGUGGCAGGCAUGACUGCAUGGAGCGCCGUUACCUUCCCGCCGGAGCGGUACCUAUUGAUCUACUCACAUUUAUAUGUUUUCGAAAUGCUACGUUGGCCGAAGCUGGGGCUAACAGCAGGUGCUUACUCUGCUCUACAGAUUGGAACCUGCAACCUUUUGAUCCGCAAGUUCAGCAGCUCAGCGCUUUAACUCGCUGCGCCACCAAGGGUCCAGUUCUUUGGAUGUCCAUUCUGGUUUCUUUAGACUUCUCCUUGUUGGCACUCUUUUCAUUUGUUCCUUCAGUAUCUCGCAUUUAAGAAACUCCCAUUCAUCAUUAACUCCCUUCUCUUUAAGCAUUCCUAUCCAUGGGAUCACACUCAGUAUUUCCCAAAGUUUCUUGAUCACACCCAGUAUUUUCCAGAGUUUCAUAUAGAACCAAUAGGAUAGCAAUCUAAAUGGGAACCCUCUUUGAGUGUUAGCAUGUGCUCAUUUGGUCAAUGUGAUUUUAAAAUAACAGCCCAUCUGUUUGAGGCUGCAUUUUCAUUCAUUUUGCUAAGCAGAAUUUUCUUGCGCCCCAAGUCUUCCCUUCCUAGAUGCACCGGACAGAGAUGGACUCAGUUGGACAUCUCAAUAAUCAAAGCCGUGGGCAAAAGCUGUUAAGAUAAUGAGCAUUGGCCAUGUUGAUUCUGACAGGUCGGCACAAUUUACAAUCUUCUUCCCCACCCUUGUUAAGGCAUGCUUAUGCAUAUUUAUUCAAAUGUUAGUAUAAUUAGCUGUACAUCUUGUUCAAAUAGAUAUCUUUUGUCAAAGAAGACCUGAGCAAAAAAACAUACUGUGUAUUGCAGUCGCUGGGGAUAUGAAGUGUUUUCUCCCAUUUCCAGUUUUGCAUAAUGGGAAAUCGAUAUUUUUAUAAGGGUAAAUCUUACAAGACGGCCAGUAUGGUAUUGUGGUUUGUGUUUUGGACUAUGACUCUGGAGUCCAGGGUUCGGUUCCCUGCUUGGCCGUGAAUCUCACGAUUUCAGCCACAAAAAAACCCCGUCGGAAAACCCGCCUGAUGUCGGAAAAGACUUGGAGGCUCUAAAAUAACAAACCUGAUAAACCUUGUCCUACCUUUGUAAAGAGAAUUCACUCUUUUUGUUCAUAGCAAUACAUACCAAAUUCUUCCUUACUCCCUAAAAUGAAAAGAAACCGAGCACUAACCGUAUUUACUAGUUAUGAGUCAUGCCAUAUUCAAUGAAUGUCAGUUAUCUAGAGACUGCAGCCCUAUUUUCUAAGCCUUCCUUCCCUCUCUGAAUCCUCUGUUGGCUCUGAUUUCUUCUGACGCUGCUCAGAUCUCCAACUACAGAGAACAGAAUUGUUUUUGCUCCUACCGCGCCUCCUAAUAAUAAUGAUGAUACUAUAAUGCAGUGGUGCCUGUAUGUGUGCCUAUGUGUCUUCAGUUUGCCUGGUGGUUUUCAUGGAGUUUUCUUAGGCCAGGAGUACUCAGAAGUGGUUUUGUCAAUUCCUUCCUCUGAAAUAGAGCCUCCAGCACCAGGGAUUCAUUGACGGUCCCCAUCCAAGUACUAACCAGGACUGAACCUGCUUAGCUUCCAUAAUCAGAUGGGAUCUGGUGCCUUUAUGGUACCAUGAAAGCACAAAGUGAUUAUUAUGGCCACAAAAAUGAAGUUACUACUUUGGGGAGUGAGACAAUUUUGUAUCACUUUGUGAUCUGAUACAAAGUCCUAAUCAGUCCAUAUCUGGGAAGUGGGAUAGGCUUCUUUUCUUUCUUGUUUAGGCUGAAAAAGAGAUUGGCCACACAUAACCCAGUUAGUGGUUCACAGGGAUUUGAACCUGAGGCCCAUGCAUGCAACAUAUUCAUAGCCACAAGAUUCCAAUUUAAUUGCUAUGGUGGCUUCCGAUGCAAUCCUAGGAUUUGUAGUUUAGGGAGGAGUGUUUAGAAAUCUCAGUCAGAGACCUGUUGUCCCUAACAAACCCCAGGAUUUGAUAGUAUUUGCUGUGGCAGUUGAAGCUGUAUAUGACACUACAUUUUUGUCGUGUGAAUGGGCUCUGGGGUCACUACACGUCUCAAACCUCUACAGGUACAUGUACAUCGUAGAAUUUAUGCAGUUUGGCACCACGUUAACUCCCAUGGCUGAAUAGGAGUCUUUAGCCUUCUCUGGCAAGGAGUGCUGGUGCCUCACCGAACCUCCACUACUCCAUAGCAUUGAGCCAUGGCAGUUAAAGUAGUGUCAAACUGCAUUAAUUCUACAGUGUAGAUGUGCCCUACAUCAUACUGUCUCUCUUCUUGGAGGUGGUUUCAGCCAAAACAGGACAUCUGACAAUUGACCUCCGGUACUUUUUUUUACAGCUGGAAAUCAGGAGGUGAAAUCUUUCCUAUCAUCCUUUCCUUCCAAGGCUUGACCUGACAAAUUUUCUACCUGCGAUUCAUGUCCACAAAGCCAAAUUAGCACAGCCCCCAUAGUGAGCACUGCAAUUUCGCUUCAUCUGGAGGCAAGAUUUGAGAAGUGGAAAAAAAAGUUAAAUAAGUUCCCAGUUGAAGGCAGAAGAACAAUUUUAAACCACCUCCAUGAUUUAAGCCAUGGUAGCUUUAAGCCACUGCUAGCAAUCUUUACAAAGUCCUGAAAGGAUGGAGUGGGGAGGCAGAACCCAGAAUCAACAUUGCCUUUAAAAGCGCGCUUGCCGUUAAGGACCACAUACAGUGAAAAGUGCAAUGUCAAGUGCUGAGCUAACUUGUAAAACACUUGAAUAAAUACACUGUAUGCCAAGCUGCAGAUGGCAGACCUGUUAUGUUCACGGUCGGACAAGGGAAGCACAGAGCUGGCAAUUGCAACUUGAGAAAAUAGCAUUGAGGUUAUGAGGGUUCGAACACAGAGGGGCUGGAAGCAAAAAAUAAUAUAUCAAAUGCCUUCCUGUUGAACAGCUGCACUGACUUGGGAUCUGUCUGUAUUUCAUUGUGUGCCAUGAAAAUGGACUGAAACCCAGCAGUGGUGCCUCGGUGGUCUUCUUCCAGGGGCUGAACAAUCCCUAUGUGGGCAGGACUUGAGCAGAGGCCAAACUGUAUGUCAGAUCUGAGAUCAGCUCUCUCCUAAUGACUUGGUUGCACUUUAGGGCAGCCAAAUGCUGACAAAGGCCCUACAUUCUGUUCCGGCUUUCUCUUUCAGUUUUUUUGAAGGGCAAAGGUGUCUGGAUUUUGAGCUAGGAAUCUACUUUGGAAUAAGUCAUUAGUUACGGUUAUUGUUUGAAGCCCUCCCCUCAAGUUGACAGUUCAGAGCAAACUUAUGCAGCAUUCUAGAUUUUAUUGUACGACAGUCCCAGUACUCCUUUCCAUUGGCGUUGCUGAUUUGGUUUGAUGGGAGUUGUGGACAAACAACAUAGCACAGUUCUCACCCCUGAUUUUUUUUAAAAAGUGACUCCACUCUUUUUUUCCAAAGGUAGUUAAUUCUUACUUUUAAAAACAUCUCACACUCUUCUUCUGUUCUCCUGAUUUUUGGCACAACAGGUCACAAGCCAGCACUGUAACCAUGUGGUCUUUCUCCUCCAAUUUAACUAGGUCUUCUAUACAAAUAUUAUAUUACAGUUCAUAUAAUCACAGGAUCACUGGAAGGAAAAAUUAUAUUAUCUAAUCCAUCCUUUUUGGUCUCUCUUUUCUGGACAUGUUCCAGUUUGUCAAUAUACUUUUUGAAUUGCUUUGCCCUGAACAGGACACAGCAUUCCAGGUGAGAUCUGACCUGUGUUUAUGUAUUGUCUGUCCAUGUUAAUUGUAUAACAGCAUUGAAUGUUUGCUGUAUAUGUGUUCUGUAAACCUCCUGAAUCCCCUUGGGGAGAUAGAGCAGAAUAUAAGUAAAGUAUAUUAUAUUAUAAUAAAGUGGAAUAGAAUGGCAUUAGUAAUUCUGUCAGUUUAGACAUUAUGCCAAUGUUUACAUAGCCUAGAAUGGCAUUGACUUUUUUACUUUGUAAUCUGUUUGUGCAUAUGCAUAGCAAAUGAGGGAAACUUUCACAAAAUUAUUGAAAUAUUGUGUGUACAAUUAUUGUCAAUUUGUGUGAAUAAGAAACAUAAAUGAAUGCUGUGUUGAGACUGAGUCCCAUCUCCCAAAUAUGCAAAUGUAGGUAUACAAAAAUGUGAAAUCUAAAACAUCUUUGAUUCCAAGCAUUUUGGAUUAAGGAUAUUCAGCCUGUAACUGGCCUACAGAACACAACCCGUAUGUCUGGCCCCUUCCACACUGCCUCUAUAUCCCAGGAUCUAAUCACAGAUUAUCUGCUUGUCCCAGUGGAGUCAGUGGAGACUCAUAUAAUCCAGUUGAAAGCAGAUUAAAGCAGAUAAUCUGGGAUCAGAUCCUGGGAUAUAGGGGCAAUGUAGAAGGGGCCUUUAACUGGAGAACUGUUGCAAUGAAAUUGAGCAAAACAGCCCAUACAUACCUUCCAUCAGAACAAUGUCCAGGAAAGGAAGGAUCAUAGUGAACAUCCACUACAUCUCAUCCAAAGCAUUGCACAAAGGUGCAUUGAGAAUUCAUAAAAAGCCGGCCUUUCAAAAUUACAAUUGACCCUCCAUCUUUGCAAGUUUGUCUCCUGCAGAUUUAAUUAUUGGUUAAUUCCAUUAAAAUGUUCUUGCUAGAA